GUAGGUGGCAAGCGUUGUCCGGAAUUAUUGGGGCGUAAAGCGCGCGCAGGCGGUUCUUUAAGUCUGAUGUGAAAGCCCACGGGCUCAACCGUGGAGGGUCAUUGGAAACUGGAGAACUUGAGUACAGAAGUGGAAAGCGGAAUUCCACGUGUAGCGGUGAAAUGCGUAGAGAUGUGGAGGAACACCAGUGGCGAAGGCGGCUUUCUGGUCUGUAACUGACGCUGAGGCGCGAAAGCGUGGGGAGCAAACAGGAUUAGAUACCCUGGUAGUCCACGCCGUAAACGAUGAGUGCUAAGUGUUAGGGGGUUUCCGCCCCUUAGUGCUGCAGCUAACGCAUUAAGCACUCCGCCUGGGGAGUACGGCCGCAAAGGCUG
rnacentral:rRNA from 1 species